rnacentral:rRNA from 1 species
UACGGAGGGGGCUAGCGUUGUUCGGAAUUACUGGGCGUAAAGCGCACGUAGGCGGCUUUGUAAGUUAGAGGUGAAAGCCCAGGGCUCAACCCUGGAAUUGCCUUUAAGACUGCAUCGCUAGAAUUGUGGAGAGGUAAGUGGAAUUCCGAGUGUAGAGGUGAAAUUCGUAGAUAUUCGGAAGAACACCAGUGGCGAAGGCGACUUACUGGGCACAUAUUGACGCUGAGGUGCGAAAGCGUGGGGAGCAAACAGG